rnacentral:rRNA from 1 species
UUGCCUACGGGGCGCAGCAGUGGGGAAUAUUGCACAAUGGGGGAAACCCUGAUGCAGCGACGCCGCGUGAGUGAAGAAGCACCUCGGCGCGUAAAGCUCUGUCAGCAGGAACGAUAAUGACGGUACCUGAAGAAGAAGCCCCGGCUAACUACGUGCCAGCAGCCGCGGUAAUACGUAGGGGGCAAGCGUUAUCCGGAUUUACUGGGUGUAAAGGGGGCGCAGACGGCGAUGCAAGCCAGGAGUGAAAGCCCGGGGCCCAACCCCGGGACUGCUCUUGGAACUGCGUGGCUAGAGUGCCGGAGGGG